rnacentral:rRNA from 1 species
UACGUCGGGCGCAAGCGUUGUCCGGAAUUAUUGGGCGUAAAGAGCUCGUAGGUGGCGUGUCGCGUCUGCCGUGAAAGCCCAUGGCUUAACUGUGGGUCUGCGGUGGAUACGGGCAGGCUAGAGGCUGGUAGGGGCAAGCGGAAUUCCUGGUGUAGCGGUGAAAUGCGCAGAUAUCAGGAGGAACACCGGUGGCGAAGGCGGCUUGCUGGGCCAGUUCUGACGCUGAGGAGCGAAAGCGUGGGGAGCGAACAGG